UACGUAGGGGGCUAGCGUUGUCCGGAAUCAUUGGGCGUAAAGAGCGUGUAGGCGGUCCGGUAAGUCCGCUGUGAAAGUCGGGGGCUCAACCCUCGAAUGCCGGUGGAUACUGUCGGGCUAGAGUGCGGAAGAGGCGAGUGGAAUUCCUGGUGUAGCGGUGAAAUGCGCAGAUAUCAGGAGGAACACCUAUAGCGAAGGCAGCUCGCUGGGACGUUACUGACACUGAGGCGCGAAAGCGUGGGGAGCGAACAGG
rnacentral:rRNA from 1 species